GACGAACGCUGGCGGCGUGCUUAACACAUGCAAGUCGAACGGAAAGGCCCUGCUUUUGUGGGGUGCUCGAGUGGCGAACGGGUGAGUAACACGUGAGUAACCUGCCCUUGACUUUGGGAUAACUUCAGGAAACUGGGGCUAAUACCGGAUAGGAGCUCCUGCUGCAUGGUGGGGGUUGGAAAGUUUCGGCGGUUGGGGAUGGACUCGCGGCUUAUCAGCUUGUUGGUGGGGUAGUGGCUUACCAAGGCUUUGACGGGUAGCCGGCCUGAGAGGGUGACCGGCCACAUUGGGACUGAGAUACGGCCCAGACUCCUACGGGCGGCAGCAGUGGGGAAUAUUGCACAAUGGGCGGAAGCCUGAUGCAGCAACGCCGCGUGCGGGAUGACGGCCUUCGGGUUGUAAACCGCUUCCGCCUGUGACGAAGCGUGAGUGACGGUAAUGGGUAAAGAAGCACCGGCUAACUACGUG
rnacentral:rRNA from 1 species